CCUACGGGAGGCAGCAGUGGGGAAUAUUGGACAAUGGGCGAAAGCCUGAUCCAGCCAUGCCGCGUGUGUGAAGAAGGCCUUCGGGUUGUAAAGCACUUUCAGUGGGGAAGAAAGCCUUGGGGCUAAUACCCUCGAGGAAGGACAUCACUCACAGAAGAAGCACCGGCUAACUCCGUGCCAGCAGCCGCGGUAAUACGGAGGGUGCGAGCGUUAAUCGGAAUUACUGGGCGUAAAGCGCGCGUAGGCGGUCUGAUAAGCCGGUUGUGAAAGCCCCGGGCUCAACCUGGGAACGGCAUCCGGAACUGUCAGGCUAGAGUGCAGGAGAGGAAGGUAGAAUUCCCGGUGUAGCGGUGAAAUGCGUAGAGAUCGGGAGGAAUACCAGUGGCGAAGGCGGCCUUCUGGACUGACACUGACGCUGAGGUGCGAAAGCGUGGGUAGCAAACAGGAUUAGAUACCCUAGUAGUC
rnacentral:rRNA from 1 species